UUAAAUCACCAACAUCAUUUCCCAACUACCGAUUUCAAAACGGAAAACUUUUCAGAUUCAUUAAAUCUGUUAACCCCUUAACCAGGGAGUUUGAGUGGAAGGAGGUAGUUCCAUUGGAGUUACGACGGAAAAUAAUAUUUGAACAUCAUUCUGAACCCACGUCAGGCCAUUUCGGAAUUUUUAAAACACAUAAACGUGUUAGUUUAACUUAUUUUUGGCCAAACAUGCACAAUGAUGUAGUCGAAUUUGUAUCCAGUUGCGAUACCUGCCUUUCGCAUAAGCACCCUAAUCACUCAACUCUGGGUACAAUGGGGAGGCCUAAAGAUUGCAGUAGGCCAUUCCAAAUGUUGAGCGUAGAUCUUGUUGGGCCCUUGCCCGUAUCUAGAAAGCAAAAUACCUUCUUGCUGGUUAUAACGUGUUGCUUUUCUAAAUAUUGCCUUCUAUUUCCCAUUCGUCGAGCAACUUCUGAUAUUAUUUCAAAGAUAAUUGAAGAUAAAGUAUUUCUCAUUCACGGGGUACCUAGCACUAUUUUAAUGGACAACGGACGUCAAUUUACCAGCCUCACGAUGAAAAAAUUAUUUGAAAAUUAUAAUAUCCCAAAUGUUUUUUAUACCCCUUUAUACACCCCACAAAUAAACACAGUAGAACGUUAUAAUAAGACUAUAAUGACGGCAGUUUCUACAUUUAUUGACGGCGACCAUAGGGUUUGGGACUCUAACAUUUCCAAGAUUCAAUUUGCGUUAAACAGCGCCGUAAAUGAGGUGACAGGGUUUACACCAUCAUUUUUGGUCUACGGGCGCGAGCUUGUUAGCUGCGGUUCACAUUACGUGGACUCGGACCUGGAAAACCAAAUAAUUUUCUCUCCACGCGAUGCCUACGCUGAAAACCUUGGUGUGUUGCAUAAAUUAUUUGACAAAGUACAACUGUCAUUAAUUAAAGCACACUCAAGAAAUAGUACUAACUAUAACCUUCGCCGUAGGAACGUGGACUUCAACGUGGGUGAUAUCGUUUGGAAAAGGACCUUUUACCAAAGCGACAAAGACAAUAAAUUCUCUAAAAAGUUAGCCCCUAAAUUCUUAAAAUGUCGUAUUGUUACAAAAAAAUCGAAAUUAGUAUACGAACUUGAAGACAUGGCAGGACGCAAUUUAGGUACCUGGCAUGUAAAAGAUUUUAAACUAACCUAGAAAUCAGAUUGCUUUAGGAUUAAUGGAUUUUUUUAGAAAAAUCCUAACCUAAAAAGGGGGGUAUGUAACGGUUCGUUACACGAAGAGUAACAAAAUAAAGUAAAAGUUAACAAAAAAAUAAAAUUUUAAUUAUAACUAAAAACUAAUUAAAAAUAUACUUACUUACUAAAACCUUAAUGACAAAAAUAAAAUAAAUAUAAACAAAAACUUAUACGUAAACUCGGGCGCAAAUGACGUUUUAAAUAUCUGUGAGCGCGAACGAUGAGUGAACGAAGUGAAAACAGGUUCGCCCCGGUUUAGAAUAAACCGUCGAAACAUCGCGGCGGAGUCCGAGCGAAGUUAUCAUAACGCAAGGACGUACGGCUUUUGUACUAAAACUGCCAAGUCACGACGAGCUACGAGUCGUUAAAUUCAUUUUUUAACAAUUUCUACAAAUCUAAGUUGUGUUGUGUUACCCCAAUAUCGGGGUCCCCGUUCCGGGUUUCAAACACUUCUCUCCGUGGAAGUUUGGGGCAAGAUUGCUGCCUUGGACAAUCAAGCCUGGUGGACCUGGGCUGCCAUCGAGAACAGUUUUACGCCUACCGGAAAUCUUAAGAUCAGUACCGUGGCCUUGAUUAUUUCUGGGACUUUGUGUCGCUCGGUUGCCAAUUAUUAACCCACUACCUGAACCUUCGUAAAUUAGAUUUAAUAAACCUUUUGUUGUACA